ensembl:lncRNA
UUUUUUUUUUUUUUUCACUAUAAAGCUUUCCCACUUCCCUGCCUGCCUUUGAAUCUCUGCCAACCGUAAGUGAUAGCAGCUGACUCCUUUCUAUAGCAAGCUCUGAAUAUAUGGCCUCUGUUCGUCUUCAUUCAGGCAGGCUUUAUUUCCACAAACAAGACGGCCCCUUAUCCUGCUCCUAUCUGAAAUUGUCUAAAGUUUUGACCAGGGCUCGCAUGCACUUCAAAGUCUGGUGGCUUAAGUGUGAGAUAGAGAGAUAGAUUGCAUGCCUUCAGGCUGUGCCCAUAUGGUCCACACAUAAUUUUCAUGUUGCCCUUUCACUCAAGACAAACAACACAACACACACACUUGUGCACGUGCACAUGUACCACUGGGAUUGGCUUGAAUCAUUUAUGUACAACACUGAAUUAUUUAUUUUCUCAUUUCAAGUGUGUUAAAGGCCUCCACCAAAGUUUACCCUGGUGUAUGCUAACCCUGAAUUGGGACAUUUGCUUCAACUUAUGUCACACCUAGGAGAGAAAUCAAGUGGAGGCAGAUCCUCACCAAAAAGAUUUAAUGAAGACACCACUGCUUAUGGUGGUGUCUAUAGCCAGAAGACUAUGCUUAUGAUGGACUCAACACACAAAUCAUUUUCUGACGGUUUUGAGACUUUUUUCCAGGGGUCAGCAAACUAUGACCUAUGGAUUUGGCCCACAGCCUAUUUUGUAAAUAAAGUUUUAUUGGCACACAGAAACACUCAUUCAUUUACAUUUUGUCUAUGGUUGCCUUUACUCUGCAAAGGCAGAGUUGAGAGGUUGCAAUGAAGAUGGUAUGGCCUGCAAAGACUAAACUAUUUGCUACCUAGUUUUCUACAGAAAAAGUUUGCUGAGCCUGCUUAGCUUCUCCAUGAACUCUAAUGAAUGGAUGCCCCAAGUUAUCCUGUCAUUUGAUUAACAUCCUGACAUAUUCCUUAGGUGCCAGCCAGGCUGAGCAUCCAAGUAGAAAUAAGAUAGCAUUCUUACCUUCAAAAAGCUCUCAGGCCAUCAGGAAAGAGAAAGAAAAACAUCAUACACACAGGGUGAUACAAGCAAAGAACAAAGAAGUAAAAUUGUAGGCAAGGCUUCAGGGAGGAAGUCAGUGAGCAAAUUAUGUAGUCCUUGUUCUUCCCCAACCUGGAUCCAUCCUCAACCUUUUCUGCUCUGCUCUGUGCCCUGGACGCCCCAGAACACUACAUCUCCCAUGUUCCCUUGUGCAUUAGUCCAUUCUUAAUGCUGCUAUAAAGAAUUGCCCAAGACUGGGUAAUUUAUAAAGAAAAAAAGUUUAAUUGACUCACAGUUCCACAGGGCUGGGGAGACCUCAGGAAACGUACAACCAUGGUGGCAGGGAGAGCAAACACGUGCUUCUUCACAUAGCAGCAGGAAGGAAAAGAAUGAGUGUCCAGUGAAGGGGGAAGCCCCUUAUAAAACCAUCGAAUCUCGUGAGAACUCACUCACUAUCACAGGAACAGGAUGGGAGAACCCCCACCCCCAUGAUUCAAUUAUCUCCACCUGGUCCCUCCCAUGACCUAAAUCUCAAGAUGAGAUUUAGGUGGAGACACAGCCAAACGAUAUCACCUUGCCAGCUGGCAGACAGUUGGGUUUGAACAAUGAGAGGUACCUGUAGGAGAUCAGAAAGUGGGAGAGAGGCCAGAGUGUUUCUUCCCUGCUUCACCAUAUCUCUGAGAGUAUCUGUGUCUCUGCAUGAUCACAGGUCCUUUCAGAUGCUCCUCUCCCACAUUUCCAGUUAUCUCUGCGUUUCCAUAAUGCUAUGUACACCGAGGCAUUGAAAUGGCUUCUUAUCAUUGCCCAUCUCUAGGGUCUUCACUCAUCAUCCGUUGUUCAUUUUUGUAAGGCUGUCCAUAUCUCAGUCAAUAAACUACCUGCCCUUGAACCAUCUGAACCUCCAUUUGGACCAUCAGUUCCUUGCUGGGACUUUGACCAAUACAGCCCUUGUCUCUGUCUUUCUGUAACUCACUUAGUUAAUCAACUGGCCUAACCCACUCACUCUGGACAUAAGGUCAAAACACAUUCACUCAACACUUGCAUGAACACACAGCAUUAUAUCAGAGGACAGAUAUUUAAAAGCUGGUAUUUAUAUUCAGAAAAAUGUUUAUUAUCAGCCUUGCCCAGGACCAUUUUGAAAGCAUACUUUAAGGAUAAGAAGCUCUUUCCAUGAGCAAUCAGAGUUCAUGUCAGGCCUUCCAUCCAUAUGAGUAGAUGAGCAUCAUUAUAAGCCUGCUCUGGGGAUUGCAAUGUUCCCAAACAUUAUUGUUACACAGUCAACAGUUAUAAUGAGUAAGGCACUCAUUGCUCACCAGUAAGUGGCAUUGGCCUUUUUGUUCUCUUCUGAGUCAAUCUCUUUAUUGUUUUCACUCCUUUGGUAGAGAUUGUUUUAAUAUGUCCCAUUUCUGAGCAGAUUCUCUCAGCUCAUCUUCAAAAUUCUGAAAUUCCACUUGUGUUCCCGCUGGACCAUGUUUGUUUAUAAGGUCACAAAAGGUUUCUUUAAA